rnacentral:precursor_RNA from 12 species
CGGGCCGAGGCGCACCUGGGCCUCUGUGGGCAUCUUACCGGACAGUGCUGGAUUUCUUGGCUUGACUCUAACACUGUCUGGUAACGAUGUUCAAAGGUGACCCACUGCCUGCCCACCAGGA